rnacentral:sRNA from 1 species
GAGCAAGUCCCGAGGCCUGCGGUGAGCGCCGGAGCCGGAGAGGCAGCUAUAUGUCUUUGCCUUUCAAGAUCCUCUUUCCACAAACCCUCCGUGCACUCAGCCGAAAAGAACUGUGCCUGUUCCGAAAACAUCACUGGCCUGAUGUAAGACAAUUCAGCCAGUGGUCAGAAACAGAUCUGCUUCAUGGACAUCCCCUCUUCCUGAGAAGAAAGCCUGUUCUGUCAUUCCAGGGAAGCCAUCUAAGAUCACGUGCCACCUGCCUUGUUUUCUUGCCAGGGUUGCAUGUGGGACUCUGCAGUGGCCCUUGUGAGAUGGCUGAGCAACGGUUCUGUGUGGACUAUGCCAAGCGUGGCACAGCUGGCUGCAAAAAAUGCAAGGAAAAGAUUGUGAAGGGCAUAUGCCGAAUUGGCAAAGUGGUGCCCAAUCCCUUCUCAGAGUCUGGGGGUGAUAUGAAAGAGUGGUACCACAUUAAAUGCAUGUUUGAGAAACUAGAGCGGGCCCGGGCCACCACAAAAAAAAUCGAGGACCUCACAGAGCUGGAAGGCUGGGAAGAGCUGGAAGAUAAUGAGAAGGAACAGAUAACCCAGCACAUUGCAGAUCUGUCUUCUAAGGCAGCAGGUACACCAAAGAAGAAAGCUGUUGUCCAGGCUAAGUUGACAACCACUGGCCAGGUGACUUCUCCAGUGAAAGGCGCCUCAUUUGUCACCAGUACCAAUCCCCGGAAAUUUUCUGGCUUUUCAGCCAAGCCCAACAACUCUGGGGAAGCCCCCUCGAGCCCCACCCCUAAGAGAAGUCUGUCUUCAAGCAAAUGUGACCCCAGGCAUAAGGACUGUCUGCUACGGGAGUUUCGAAAGUUAUGCGCCAUGGUGGCCGAUAAUCCUAGCUACAACACGAAGACCCAGAUCAUCCAGGACUUCCUGCGGAAAGGCUCAGCAGGAGGUGUGGCACGAGCAUCCUGAAUAGGCCUUUCCUCCGGAGAGCUCAAGGCCAUGGCUGCCUUCCUGGGCAUGUGAGCUGUAUAGUUGCCCAGGGUUCCAUGCUUGGUUUAAUGCUGUACUAUAGUGCUGUCUUGAAAUUCUUAAUAAUUUUGAACAAGGGGCCUCGCAUUUGCAUUUUGCACUGUACUCCACAAAUUAUGUAGCCAGUUUUUCUCAGA